rnacentral:rRNA from 1 species
UAACACAUGCAAGUCGAGCGGACACGAUGAUAGCUUGCUAUCAGGCGUCGAGCGGCGGACGGGUGAGUAAUACUUAGGAAUCUACCUAGUAGUGGGGGAUAGCUCGGGGAAACUCGAAUUAAUACCGCAUACGUCCUACGGGAGAAAGCAGGGGAUCUUUGGACCUUGCGCUAUUAGAUGAGCCUAAGUCGGAUUAGCUAGAUGGUGGGGUAAAGGCCUACCAUGGCGACGAUCUGUAGCUGGUCUGAGAGGAUGAUCAGCCACACCGGGACUGAGACACGGCCCGGACUCCUACGGGAGGCAGCAGUGGGGAAUAUUGGACAAUGGGGGGAACCCUGAUCCAGCCAUGCCGCGUGUGUGAAGAAGGCCUUUUGGUUGUAAAGCACUUUAAGCAGUGAAGAAGACUCUUCGGUUAAUACCCGGGGACGAUGACAUUAGCUGCAGAAUAAGCACCGGCUAACUCUGUGCCAGCAGCCGCGGUAAUACAGAGGGUGCAAGCGUUAAUCGGAAUUACUGGGCGUAAAGCGAGCGUAGGUGGCUUGAUAAGUCAGAUGUGAAAUCCCCGGGCUUAACCUGGGAACUGCAUCUGAAACUGUUAGGCUAGAGUAGGUGAGAGGGAAGUAGAAUUUCAGGUGUAGCGGUGAAAUGCGUAGAGAUCUGAAGGAAUACCGAUGGCGAAGGCAGCUUCCUGGCAUCAUACUGACACUGAGGCUCGAAAGCGUGGGUAGCAAACAGGAUUAGAUACCCUGGUAGUCCACGCCGUAAACGAUGUCUACUAGUCGUUGGGUCCCUUGAGGACUUAGUGACGCAGCUAACGCAAUAAGUAGACCGCCUGGGGAGUACGGCCGCAAGGUUAAAACUCAAAUGAAUUGACGGGGGCCCGCACAAGCGGUGGAGCAUGUGGUUUAAUUCGAUGCAACGCGAAGAACCUUA